UACGUAGGGUGCGAGCGUUAAUCGGAAUGACUGGGCGUAAAGGGUGCGCAGGCGGUUUAUCAAGACGAAUGUGAAAGCCCCGGGCUUAACCUGGGAAUGGCAUCCGUGACUGAUAGGCUAGAGUAUGGCAGAGGGAGGCAGAAUUCCACGUGUAGCAGUGAAAUGCGUAGAGAUGUGGAGGAAUAUCGAUGGCGAAGGCAGCCUCCUGGGCCGAUACUGACGCUCAUGCACGAAAGCGUGGGGAG
rnacentral:rRNA from 1 species